rnacentral:rRNA from 1 species
GGUUCCUGUCCAACGUUAAUCGGGGCAGGGUGAGUCGACCCCUAAGGCGAGGCCGAAAGGCGUAGUCGAUGGGAAACGGGUUAAUAUUCCCGUACUCGGUGUUACUGCGAUGGGGGGACGGAGAAGGCUAUGUCAUCCGGGCGACGGUCGUCCCGGUUUAAGCGUGUAGGUGUGCAUUCCAGGUAAAUCCGGUUUGCUCUAACACUGAGGCGUGAUGACGAGGCACUACGGUGCUGAAGUGACAGAUGCCCCGCUUCCCAGGAAAAGCCUCUAAGCUUCAGGUAACAACGAAUCGUANCCCAAACCGACACAGGUGGNCNGGUAGAGNAUACCAAGGCGCUUGAGAGAACNNGNGUGAAGGAACUAGGCAAAAUGNUGCCGUAACUUCGGGAGAAGGCACGCUGAUGUGUAAGUGAAGCCCCUGCGGGUGGAGCUGAAGUCAGUCGAAGAUACCAGCUGGCUGCAACUGUUUAUUAAAAACACAGCACUGUGCAAACACGAAAGUGGACGUAUACGGUGUGACGCCUGCCCGGUGCCGGAAGGUUAAUUGAUGGGGUUAUCCGUAAGGAGAAGCUCUUGAUCGAAGCCCCGGUAAACGGCGGCCGUAACGAUAACGGUCCUAAGGUAGCGAAAUUCCUUGUCGGGUAAGUUCCGACCUGCACGAAUGGCGUAAUGAUGGCCANNCUGUCUCCACCCGNGACUCAGUGAAAUUGAANUCGCUGUGAAGAUGCAGUGUACCCGCGGCNAGACGGAAAGACCCCGUGAACCUUUACUANAGCUUNACACUGNACNCUGNUCNUUGUNUGUGUAGGAUAGGUGGGAGGCUUUGAAGCGUGGACGCCAGUCUGCGUGGAGCCAACCUUGAAAUACCACCCUUUAAUGGCUGGUGUUCUAACGUAGACCCCUUACCGGGGUUGCGGACAGUGUCUGGUGGGUAGUUUGACUGGGGCGGUCUCCUCCCAAAGAGUAACGGAGGAGCACGAAGGUUGGCUAAUCCUGGUCGGACAUCAGGAGGUUAGUGCAAUGGCAUAAGCCAGCUUGACUGCGAGCGUGACGGCGCGAGCAGGUGCGAAAGCAGGUCAUAGUGAUCCGGUGGUUCUGAAUGGAAGGGCCAUCGCUCAACGGAUAAAAGGUACUCCGGGGAUAACAGGCUGAUACCGCCCAAGAGUUCAUAUCGACGGCGGUGUUUGGCACCUCGAUGUCGGCUCAUCACAUCCUGGGGCUGAAGUAGGUCCCAAGGGUAUGGCUGUUCGCCAUUUAAAGUGGUACGCGAGCUGGGUUUAGAACGUCGUGAGACAGUUCGGUCCCUAUCUGCCGUGGGCGCUGGAGAAUUGAGGGGGGCUGCUCCUAGUACGAGAGGACCGGAGUGGACGCAUCACUGGUGUUCGGGUUGUCAUGCCAAUGGCAUUGCCCGGUAGCUACAUGCGGAAGAGAUAAGUGCUGAAAGCAUCUAAGCACGAAACUUGCCCCGAGAUGAGUUCUCCCUUGGACCUUGAGUCCACUGA